AACGUCUCUGUUGUAUGGUUACAUUUCGAUAAGAUUGCAGUUUUUGUAAAGCACGGCAAGAAUGGUACCGAUCGAUAGGGGGUAGAGACACGAAAAUAACCCCAUUGGCGUCAAAGGUCAAACGUCUACGAGUUAGAGAGGCGACUAGGCGACAUAGGUAACAUAGCACGGGAACGGGACGCGUCGCGUCGCAGACUAUGGCGAAAGCAGCGCAACGUCAAACUGCAUGCACGCUUGGCAUAUAACGAAUUGCAUUCUGAGCUCAUAAUUUUUAUUUUACAAGUAAUCAUAUGUAGGUUAGUUUUACGAAAAGUACUGAUUUCUAGCCUACCUGUAAGUUUUCUGGUUCCGGAUUGUAUCCUCCGAAAGCAUUUGGAAUGUUUCCCAUCACACCAUCUUCUCCGAUACUCAAAGGUUUGUGCCUUAAUCCACUGUUAAAACUUGAUAAUCACAACCACACAAUAGUUUAUUCUGUAAUGUUUCCAUUCGUGGGUUUGUUCAGAUGGAAAUCUAGUUCCUCAUUUUGUAAAGUCAGAUUUUUCUUUUCGCAAAAAAAUAAGGACAGCAACUUGACGCUAUCGCAACGCUACGCCAAAUAGGCGCGUGUGC
rnacentral:lncRNA from 1 species